AUGUUGUGCUCCCAAUACUUUGUUUCUGAUAUAUUUCAUUACAGUCGCUCUGUAGAUUUAUACUCUGCUGGAGAUUGGUUUUAUUAUAUUGUUUGUUGUACAAUGUCCUGGUGUCAUCUCCCAUCUAAGAUACAGUCUUUUUAUCACCAACGGACUGCCCCCAUCUUGGCUGCAUUAAUCAUGCGAAAUUAACACUUCCGCAUAAAUGUCAGUCUCCCCCCAAUUGAAUGACGGAUACUGGCUGCUGGAGGAUAUAAGUGGAUGCGUAUUAUAUGGGAUGACAUAUGGUCCCUUAGAGCAGCCAUUUUGCAUUAGCUAAACGGUUACUCGAAUAUCCAUGACUUCCUCUGCUUUUAGAAGAGAUCAUAGAGUGAGGAACGUGUAUGUGCACUCUGUUCUGGGCUGCCUAAUGUCAAUUCUGUGCAAAACUUCUGUCUGUUAUCAGUGCUCACUGCACAACGACAGACGUAAGCAGCUUCCCUGCCUUGGUGGGCUCCAAUCCUCCCCGCCUCCCUACAUUCAGCUUAAUUUACCACCACCCCAGUCCACUCCAUCUGUCCUCCUUGUCUCCCUCUGUCCUCCCUCCCCAGAUCAGAGCAUGUGCAUGCGCGCUGAGCUUGGAGAUUGGUCCUGUCCAAUGCUUCUAUGAGAGGUAUUUGAUUGGAUCACAAUGAUUAUAGAGAGGGAAGGCAAGACGGGGAGUGGAGAGCAGCGAGGGGAGGUUUGCCCAAUACUGGAUUACAGGCAAGUUUAAUGUUUUUGUUAUAGGUUUAUAAGGGCAUGGGAAUAAAUAAUGCCCAAUAUGGCAGUUUAAUUUAAGAUUACGAUAAUAAUAUAAAAAGCCGCACUUUGAAAACGGUACUCAAGAUUGGGUUAUUCAGUAAAGUGAGAAUUCAAAGUGAAUUUCAAAUUUAUGGUCAAAUAUCUGAACUGGAAACGUUUGCUAACUCAGAGAGAAUUCCAGUUUGGCUUCUCUGGCGUUAAAUCUGAAAUUUACUUUGUAUUCUCACCUCAGUGACUAUCCCUGUCUGUGCUGCCAUGUCGCUGACCUUGUGGUAUAAUCAGCAGUAACCGUAUAUUGUGUGUAUUCUGCCUCCCACCAGAUCCAGUGCAGGAUGCAAGAUAAGACACAGGCCAUAUGGUAUCCGGCAGCAGAUUGCUAAAAGGUUUCACAGUCUGCAGCACUGAACCAAUCAGAUCCAUUUCCUAUUAAAAGUACCUCGUUUUUAUUAAAG